rnacentral:rRNA from 1 species
AUCGAACGCUGGCGGCAGGCCUAAUACAUGCAAGUCGAGCGAGCGUCGGACGGUUGAGUAAUGUAUGGGGACUGCCCGAUCGAGCGGGAUAACUACUGGAACCGGUGGCUACUACCGCAUACUGUCGUAUAACCCAUAUGGGAUUAGCUAGUAGUUAAGGUAAUGGCGUACCUAGGCGACGAUCCCUAGCUGGUCUGAGAGGAUGAUCAGCCACACUGGGACUGAGACACGGACCAGACUCCUACGGAGGCAGCAGUGGGGAAUAUUGCACAAUGGGCGCAAGCCGGAUGCAGCCAUGCCGCGUGUAUGAAGAAGGCCCUAGGGCUGUAAAGUACUGUCAGUCGGGAGGCGUUACCGUCAGAAGAAGCACCGGCUAACUCCGUGCCAGCAGCCGCGGUAAUUC